GACGAACGCUGGCGGCGUGCUAACACAUGCAAGGUCAACGGGGUUGAGUGCUUCGGUAUUCAACUUAGUGGCGAACGGGUGAGUAACGCGUGAAGAACCUGCCUUUCAGUGGGGGACAACAGUUGGAAACGACUGCUAAUACCGCAUGACACUGAUGAGGGGCAUCCCUUAUCAGUCAAAGCUUAAUGUGCUGAAAGAUGGCUUCGCGUCUGAUUAGCUAGAUGGCGGGGUAACGGCCCACCAUGGCGACGAUCAGUAGCCGGUCUGAGAGGAUGAACGGCCACAUUGGGACUGAGAUACGGCCCAGACUCCUACGGGAGGCAGCAGUGGGGAAUAUUGGGCAAUGGGGGAAACCCUGACCCAGCAACGCCGCGUGAAGGAAGAAGGCCUUCGGGUUGUAAACUUCUUUUACCAGGGACGAAGGACGUGACGGUACCUGGAGAAAAAGCAACGGCUAACUACGUG
rnacentral:rRNA from 1 species